UACGUAGGAGGCGAGCGUUGUCCGGAUUUACUGGGCGUAAAGCGCGUGUAGGCGGUUCGAUUAGUCUGCUGUGAAAGCUCCCCGCUUAACGAGGAGAGGUCGGUGGAUACUGUCGGACUUGAGGACGGUAGAGGGGGGGUGGAAUUCCCGGUGUAGUGGUGAAAUGCGUAGAUAUCUGGAGGAACACCGGUGGCGAAGGCGGCAUCCUGGACCAACACUGACACUGAGGAGCGAAAGCCAGGGGAGCAAACAGG
rnacentral:rRNA from 1 species